UAGAGCACAGCUGAGAUAGCGUCUGGAAGAAGGUCUCAAACCCAGAGUGCCACUGUCUAGUUUCUGUUCCUGUCUAAGGACAAACUGGUUCAUACACUGGAAGUCUGCAUGGGUCUGUACAACCAGGGCAGCCUGCCAUGUCCCCUGCACUUGGUUGGCUCUUCUGAGCUUCGCUGAUUCCUGAAACAGGGAACUUGGCACAUCCUGGCAAGUUACACAGAGGUACUUUCUGCUUAUGCAGCAGCUGCUUAAUGUCCCUAACAGGCCUUAGUAAAAUACUUCUGAAAAAG